CAGUUUGUUGACCUCUGGGUGUGGCUUCUAGGCAUACAAUUACAAAUGGACGUGGACGACAACAUCACUUGGAAAUUUGAGGCAAAUGGAGAAUACUCGGCAGGAUCUGCUUAUAGGGCACAAUUCUUGGGCUCCACCUCCACAGUCAUGAACAAGACUAUCUGGAAGGUUUGGGCGCCUCCCAAGGUCAAGUUCUUCUCAUGGUUAGCCAUCCAAAACAGGAUAUGGACUGCGGAUAGGCUGAAGAAGAGGGGUCACUACUAG
rnacentral:rRNA from 1 species